rnacentral:rRNA from 1 species
AUUCUAAGGUGAGCGAGCGAACUCUCGUUAAGGAACUCGGCAAAAUGACCCCGUAACUUCGGGAGAAGGGGUGCUCUUUAGGGUUAACGCCCAGAAGAGCCGCAGUGAAUAGGCCCAAGCGACUGUUUAUCAAAAACACAGGUCUCUGCUAAACCGUAAGGUGAUGUAUAGGGGCUGACGCCUGCCCGGUGCUGGAAGGUUAAGAGGAGUGGUUAGCUUCUGCGAAGCUACGAAUCGAAGCCCCAGUAAACGGCGGCCGUAACUAUAACGGUCCUAAGGUAGCGAAAUUCCUUGUCGGGGAAGUUCCGACCCGCACGAAAGGCGUAACGAUUUGGGCACUGUCUCAACGAGAGACUCGGUGAAAUCAUAGUACCUGUGAAGAUGCAGGUUACCCGCGACAGGACGGAAAGACCCCGUGGAGCUUUACUGUAGCCUGAUAUUGAAAUUCGGCACAGCUUGUACAGGAUAGGUAGGAGCCUUUGAAACGUGAGCGCUAGCUUACGUGGAGGCGCUGGUGGGAUACUACCCUAGCUGUGUUGGCUUUCUAACCCGCACCACUUAUCGUGGUGGGAGACAGUGUCAGGCGGGCAGUUUGACUGGGGCGGUCGCCUCCUAAAAGGUAACGGAGGCGCUCAAAGGUUCCCUCAGAAUGGUUGGAAAUCAUUCAUAGAGUGUAAAGGCAUAAGGGAGCUUGACUGCGAGACCUACAAGUCGAGCAGGGUCGAAAGACGGACUUAGUGAUCCGGUGGUUCCGCAUGGAAGGGCCAUCGCUCAACGGAUAAAAGCUACCCCGGGGAUAACAGGCUUAUCUCCCCCAAGAGUUCACAUCGACGGGGAGGUUUGGCACCUCGAUGUCGGCUCAUCGCAUCCUGGGGCUGUAGUCGGUCCCAAGGGUUGGGCUGUUCGCCCAUUAAAGCGGUACGCGAGCUGGGUUCAGAACGUCGUGAGACAGUUCGGUCCCUAUCCGUCGUGGGCGUAGGAAAUUUGAGAGGAGCUGUCCUUAGUACGAGAGGACCGGGAUGGACAUACCUCUGGUGUACCAGUUGUCGUGCCAACGGCAUAGCUGGGUAGCUAUGUGUGGACGGGAUAAGUGCUGAAAGCAUCUAAGCAUGAAGCCCCCCUCAAGAUGAGAUUUCCCAACUUCGGUUAUAAGAUCCCUCAAAGAUGAUGAGGUUAAUAGGUUCGAGGUGGAAGCAUGGUGACAUGUGGAGCUGACGAAUACUAAUCGAUCGAAGACUUAAUCAAAA